rnacentral:lncRNA from 1 species
AAGUAAAGGUGGGUAGAAAACACAAAAGGACCAAUAAAGCAUAGUUUACAACAAAUUCUUUUAUCAAUAAUAAAAUCCUUUACUAUCCACUUAUCUCGGUGAAAUUCAUAAAACAAUAUACGAAAGCAAUAACAUUAUCAUCAUCACGAAAUCAUAGAAACUGUAUAACAUAAUACUUAUCACGCCUUUUGCAUCUCAAUCAUUACACAACAUAUUUUUCCUUAUUUACCAGCCUACUAGUAUCCAUGGGGAUCCAUAGGGGUCCUGCUACCCGUGAACCCUUAACACUUGUAAUCAGAUUCCAGGGCCGUCCCCAUACCCCGUCCGGUAUGGGCGCCAAAACACAUAAGGUCUCUAUAUCCCGUCCGGUAUGAGAGACCACAAUCCCGGUAGGGUUCCCUACAGACCCGGUCCGUCCACCAUCUCCCAGGAUAUCUAGUCAGGCUGACCACAUUAUACAAUUAUCAAUUUACAUAACCUUUCAUUCCCCUUUUCCUAGGUCAGCAUCAUCAAUUCACACACAAACAAGCAAACCAGUAAUUUAUGCCAAACAAGACAACAUACAACAUCGGGUUCUCAGUCAUUCAACCCAUAAUCAAUAAAACAGUGAUAUAUGCACACGAAACAAUGAAAUGAAAACAUCAGACCCCAUACUGCAUUUAAAACUGUAAAAUAGGCCAAACAACAGCUGACCGACAAACACACCAGACUCGGGCUCCAUUAGCGACCUUAAAUAAUUUCACACAUCUAUUGAUUCAUGAAAUACCGUUUUAUCAUUUAUUAAACUUUAAUACCGAGAUAAGAAAUAGGGUGAGGGGUCCUUACUUGUUUC